UUAUGCUGCAUAGUUAUGAAAAAUUAAUGAACCACAUCUACAAACUUAUUUUGGUGAUUUAGCCAAUUUUUACAAUGACUUACAGGGCUAUUUUUACUGCCUGUGCCACAGUAUUCAAUCAUACAUGUCAUUUUACUACAGUACAGUAGGUGGCGGUAUAUUGUUCGUGUCCGUAUCGUCAUACGCGGCAAGCAAGUACACACACAGUACAACUGAAGUGUCGCUGGAAGACUGCAGGAACAGAAACCCCUGGAAAGGUUAGAAGACAGCGGAAAGAAUUGACAUCGCAGUAAACCCAGCAGACAGCCAGAGACACACCAAGAGACACGCACACACACGCAGCUGAAGUGAGUUUGACUGACGCGCACGGGAGAUCGGGCACGCGCAAGGGAAAUCAUGCACGUGCACGGAAGGUCGUGCACGCACGCACAAACAUGGAGCACAGCAUAAUUACAACAGUUGGAUUAAAAUAAAAGUACUUUGUGGUAUACAAUGUU